rnacentral:rRNA from 1 species
AUUGAACGCUGGCGGCAGGCCUAACACAUGCAAGUCGAACGAGUGGCGGACGGGUGAGUAAUGUCUGGGAAACUGCCUGAUGGAGGGGGAUAACUACUGGAAACGGUAGCUAAUACCGCAUACCAUCGGAUGUGCCCAGAUGGGAUUAGCGAGUAGGUGGGGUAAAGGCCCACCUAGGCGACGAUCCCUAGCUGGUCUGAGAGGAUGACCAGCCACACUGGAACUGCGACACGGUCCAGACUCCUACGAGAGGCAGCAGUGGUGAAUAUUGCACAAUGGGCGCAAGCCUGAUGCAGCCAUGCCGCGUGUAUGAAGAAGGCCUUCGGGUUGUAAAGUACUUUCAGCGAGGAGGCGUUACUCGAAGAAGAAGCACCGGCUAACUCCGUGCCAGCAGCCGCGGUAAUAC